rnacentral:lncRNA from 10 species
UCUAAACCUGCAACUUCACAUCAACUUUUACCAUUUUCAAGAGCUUCCAAGCCAGGAAUGUUAGAGCUGGAAGGAACAUGAUAAAAAGAAGGAAAGUGAAAGUGAACAGUUUACACAGCCAGCAGCACAGUAACCGGCAAGGGGCAAACAAACCCAUAGAUGCUUCCUGAAUGAAACAAAUGAGAUACAGGGAAAAGAUUAAAACCAAGAACCUCUGACUUCCAGACCACUUGACUCUGCUGCCUGACCCUCUUCUUAAAUCCAUGCUGCCUGAGUAAACGUCCAGGCUCCACAUAUUUAGACCACAUCGGGAAACUAGACUUCAUACUGAGACUUACGUUCCCACAUAUAUGGAUUGUGGGCAAUCAGAAGCUCAAAGUGGAAGCUCUGAAGAUGGGAUCCUUUCUGGGUUAACUUUUGGCUCUAGAAGAAAUGAGAAGAACGUAAGAAGCUGAACAGUACUUUUGAUGGUUUCUCAAGAUGUACAAACAAAAAUUGGAGCCCUGGAUCCACCAAGCUUGGGUUGGAGGCCUAGUGAACCUCCUACAUCUUAGAUUUGUAUUAUAAAUGGUUAAAUUUUAGAGCAAGGGUGAAUCACAAGUGUGAAGUAAGCCCUCACAGCAACUGAAGGCAAGUUUUGACUUGUCUUAAACACUGAAAUUGGAUUAUGUUGAUCCUUGAUUGAUUAUAUCCUUAGUCAUUU